AAAGGGACUUCAGCCAGCAAUAGGCAAUGUUGGGAUUCUUUCAAGGUUGAAUCUGUCUAAAAAGGACGAGGAGGAGACGACAAGAGUAGCAUCUCUCAAACACAACUACCAGUGCCUUUUCUUCCAGGUUUGUUGUGUUUUUGUUUUGUGUUAUACAUAUUUUUCUCCUAGAACUGCAGCUUUCGAUUUGCUGAGACCUUUAAGGAAUAAGAUACAGCAAUGAAUGUCAGGUUUCUAAAAUAUGCAGUACUUUAACUGAAUGAGCAAUUGUUUGGAUGAUGAUAAGCCUGGGAAGCUUUCGUAGGAUUAGAUGUCUUAGGAAGUUUCUUCUUUUUAAAUAGGAGAAAUCUCCAUUUUAUAUAUUCUGAAAUGCUGGGUGAAAAUAUGAAAAGAAUGGAACAAUGUUUUGCUUCAUACCCUUAUUAUUUUUAUUUCUGUUGAGCUUUGACAUUCAAGUAAACUAAUGGCAGAGCUAUAUAGCCUCCUCACCACCACACACAUCUGCACCUCCUUCUCUACCGUAUUUGCUCUGUAUGGAUAUUAACAAGCUUAGAACCUCCUGCACAGAUGUAAAACUUUAUUGUGAGGUAUCCAGAUGCCUACAGUGCAGCUGACAUGUUUCCUGUUUGGUUUGCUUAAAUGGGGAAGCAUGGCAAGGGGACAGCUUCCUGAUUGCACUAUGAGCAAUGAGAUUGCAACCCAAAGUAUCGAUCAUCUAGUAUAAAGGACAUGCUUUUCCAAGUCCUUAGGAAGCUGGCUGAACAGGCGUUAAAGGUCAGAAGGCUAGAAGUCCACUGAUGUCAGGACUGGCACUGGCCCCAGGAUGAGUUCUCUCCACCAUUUUUGGGGUGGCUGUCAGCAGUCUAUCAUGCACAGGAGGGAUGCUGACAGCAGCCAAAAACGAUUUGGCACAGCUCAGAAGUGCCCAGGUGACAGCCUCCUCUACCAGAGAGCUGAGGCCAGCUUGGUCUGCACCUCCUGCCAGCAGACUCAACAGCACCAGGACAGCGAGCCCCUGCUUGUCUUGGGAUUCAUCUGGACUUGAAAGGUUCAGAUAUUUGUGUUCUUCAGCAUUUUAUGAAUUCAGAAACAGAUGGGCUAUGACCAGGAAGCAGUGGAGAACAGACUGGCGUAAAGCAGCUUGGCUCUCUGACAAGUGCAGGUACAGCUGUGGUAUGUAUUUUAUUCAGCAUGCCCACCUACUGUAUCAGCAGCCUGCCCUACCAGCAAUUCAACUACAACUGACUUAAUGAAGAGUAGAAGUAAGCAUGAAUCCAGACUUUCCAUGGAUCAUAAUAUUUGAGAACCCAGAAGAAUCAACAUGAUGGAAAUCAUGCCAAGUAAUUUUUUUCUCCAUCUUCACAUGCAAGAGGUAACACAAAAACAUUGGCAUUUUGAGGAGAAAAAAAACCAAGCAAACAAACACAAAAUCUAAUCAAAUUAUGGGAUAUUAAAAUAUUCCCCUUUUGGACUUUGUUAAUUACUUUUUUUUUUAACACUGAAGAAAGAAACCUUAGCAAGUAAAAGUUUAUGGUUUAAAUCACCAUAAUUGUGACAAGGAAUGUGAUGAAAUGCUGGCUGAGACUGCUUCUGUUAAUGAAAGAAGAGAGAUUAUAUGGGACCAGUUACUGAACAUUUCAUGCAAGAAGUAUGUGGAGGAUAUUUAUACUCCUAUUUGUGCCAUUGUGAUCCUUGCACAGUUGCAAGUCUCAUAGGGAAAGAAAUUUUUUGUGACUAAAGAGGCAGUAGAAAAGAAUCCUUGAUCUGAAUAUUCCUUAACUGAAAAUGUGGUAUUUGCUAUUUUAUGCGUUGAUAUUUUGGAAAAGAGGUGCCUCUCUUUGUCUUUUGGCACUCUGUGCAUCUGGUUAAAUAGCUUUGCAUUUGGGUAUAUUAUACAUUUCUAUCUCUAUUUCUAUGUAACAUCAUAUAUUGUAACCUGCAGUAACCUAGUAGGAAAGUAAAUUUGGAUAAACAACCCAUAAUUAUUUUAUAGGGUGAUUGUCUGACUUGAAAUACUGAGGUAAUUAUCAAGUUAAAUUCCUAUGAUCCCUGCAAUUUCUAUGAAACCUGGAGAUGUCAGUACUUGAGUUCUGGCAUAUCUCUUAAGUAAAAUUAUACCACCUGAACCUAAGGUCUUAAUUAAAGAUGUAACAAAGCUAAGCGAAAAAUGUCUAUAUGUUUCAAAUGAAAAGCAGAAUAAUACUCGUAAUUAUAGAAGGAGCAGAAUGAAACUAACUGGCCACAAAUUCC
rnacentral:lncRNA from 1 species